rnacentral:RNase_P_RNA from 1 species
CGAGUAAGCUGGACAGCCGCGUGGGUAGGCCGAAAGGCCGCCUAUGAGGAAAGUCCGGGCUCCACAGGGCAAGGAUAACGGGUAACGCCCGCCGAAGGCGACUUCAGGAAAAGUGCAACAGAGAUAUACCGCCUCGCCCCUCUGGGGGAGCAGGCGCAGGGCGCCUCUGGCGCAUGCGCCCACGAGGUAAGGGUGGAAAGGCGGAGAUAAGCGCCCGCCCGAUGACUGGGAACUGCUCAUCGCUGUAAACUCUAUCCGGAGCAACACCGUGGUAACGCGUCAAGGCCGGCCCGGCCGCGUUUUGGAGGUGGCUAGAACGCAUCGGCAACGGUGCGUCAAGAUAGAUGGCUGUCUUAAAGGACAGAACCCGGCUUACAGGCUUGCUCGCUGG